UUAGCAGCUCUUCCAUGGUCAGCCAUGAUGGCAGUGAGGGAGGCCAGGACUGGUUCUUUUGCUGGCUUGCUCUCCUCAACCUGCCUUCCCUGGGUUUCCAUCUCAGUAUCCUGUAAAUGCAUCCACCCUGGUAAACCCUGCUCUAUUUUGGGUCUGGAAGGCAUGGACCACAUAAUGCUGCCCACAUGUGGGGAACAUAGCCUUCUCGGAGCUUGAUUCGAUGAAGUCUCAGCUCCAGAAGGUUCCCGCUGUCCUGGUGGAAGUCACACAUGCUGUCCCAUGAUGACCAGUAACCCUGUCCUGCAUGGUAAGGUGGGAAGAACACCUUCUCUUGGAGCCUUGAACAGAAACACCGCACGCAGCAGGCUGGAGCUGGAUGGCCCUCCCAGCAGACUCCAGUCCCAUUUCCUGGCCAGAAGGAAAUGUGCACAGAGAAGCCACCUUUAUGUAGGAGUUUAGAAUCUGACCAGCCAACUUCUCUCUCACAGAUGGGCGUAGGCUGUGCUGUGUGGUUUUCCCUUGGGGAGGCGGGAGCAAGAAAAAGUAUUUGUAGCUUGUUUUAUAAAAAAUAAAAAUGGGUAAACUUG
rnacentral:lncRNA from 1 species